UUUGACAGCGAAAGCGUGAUCCAGUGUCAGCAUGCAGAGCGUUGCGGUGAAGCUCUUAAAUAUCUUGUCGCGAACAAUAAUUGACAACACGUCAUACGCACUUGCUGCAUAAUCAGUCUCAGACAGAUUUGCUUAAUCUAGUGGAAGUAUAGUACACAGACAAGUUCCUUCUCCAUCACUUCCGUCUGAUAAGUGAGGAUCAAGAAGGAUUAAUCCUUUCAGAAUAGUACCAAUGAUACUUCUAAGUUGGUGCGAAACUUUAGAAGAUAAGUGUUGUGUUUGGGUGUCUUUGCCCUAAGCAACAUCGAAAAUUAAUCAAAGAAUAAGCAUGUAGAAAGCUCGAGUAUCCUUCGUUUGGACGAGGGUUCGAAACCCUCCG
rnacentral:tmRNA from 14 species